AGUAAGAGAGUGGCAGAGUGGAGAUGUGGCUGACUUGAAAUCAGUUCACGGGGGUUCGAUUCCCUCCUUUCUCG
rnacentral:tRNA from 1 species